GCUUUCGUGGUGUAGCGGUCAGCACACUUGACGUGUAAACGAGAGGUCCGUGGUUCGAUUCCCAUCGAAGGCA
rnacentral:tRNA from 1 species